AGCCGUUUUAGUACGGACACAGUUAGCAGAACACAAUUGUGAGGACCAUUCUUGAAAUAAUGUUUGCCCACGAUUUCUCUAACAACCCGAUAACUUGAAAGACAAUCUCUGAAAACAGGCUUUUUAAAAAGUUGUUGCAGAGACAGUGCUAAAACGAAUUUAAAAGCAGAGCCUAUAAUAAUUAUCCAGGAUACACUGAAAUUGUAAACUCGAACUUGCUAUCUACAAUUCCCGGGUAGUUAGAAAAAAAGCUUCCUAUAACUACUUAACUAAAAUCGAACUGUCUAGCUCCACCGGCCGAGACAUGGAGUACCUCAACCACUUCGCCAUUCUGCACUGCAAGCUCCUCAAUGGAUUUAGGUUCAUAAAUGCCAUCUACUCGGUACAGACUUUGUGCCUGAAAUGAAGAAAUGUGCAAAGUGUACACAGAUGCUGCUACAAACCUUUAAUAUUGGAGCAGAAGACAGGCAAAAGUCAGGGCAAAUGAAAGGAAAUGAAGACUACUAUGAACUUGCCCAGGACAACAGUUGAACAUCACUGCCUCAAAGUCUAUACCAGCAUCAGAGUCUUCAAAGAGUGACCAUUAGAAUUUCAAAGGCAUGUUCUCAGUGCCUAGAUUGGAUAGGAGAACGCCUAUCAUGUAAAGUAGCUAGUGUCUAUAAAAAUUAUGGUUGUCUGCUGCGCAUUAUAGCCAUGCAAAUAACGCUUCCCCUCAGAAGGUGAAGACGAAGUUAGCCAAGGGACUUUAUUUUUGUUUAUUCCUUCAUGGAAUUUGGGUGUCACUGGCUAAGCCAGCUGAAAUUGCUCAUCUCUAAUGGCCCAGAGGUAGUUAAGGUUCCACUACAUUGCUGUGGGUCUGGAAUCAC